AGUAGUUAAGUAUUAUCGCAUCAGUUCCAAAAGCUUGCGGCCAAAAAAAUUGAUUGAAUGAAGCCAAAAUAGAACGAAAGAACUCCAAGACCACUGCUUUAGGACGGAGAUCGGCGGAAUCUGGGCAUUUUGAAAGGAACCGAGCCACAGCAAGGACGACAUUGAGCUGAGGGCGCAAAACCUUAGGAGAUCCAGCGACGAGAGCCUCGGGCACUCAGACACUCACCUCACCGGCUCACUCAUUCUUCAGCCGAUACUCAGAAGAAAUUGCAAUGAUUUUUGAACGAGUUUAGGUCACUAUCUAUGUGGGCAAAGGGUAAAAGCUUUGUCAUUAAAUAUGAAGGUUCAGUCAAGAAUGGAGAUUCUGAUUGCUUUGUCUUAGAGCAUGUUGAACAUGAUAGGCCUGAGGUGUUGAAGAGUGAAAUAAGCAUUUGUCAGCUUCAGUAAUAUGGCUAUUGUAUGUUCAGAGCACUAUCAAGUCUUCAUAAAUAGGGUGUAAUCCACAGGGAUGUCAAACCUGGAAACUUCCUCUUCUCUCGUAAGGCCAGUAAAGGUUACCUGAUUGAUUUCAACCUGGCAAUGGACUUACAUCAUAAAUAUGGAAACACUGGCAAAUCAAGGGUAGGAUGUAGUGCUCGCACUGAUCAAGUCAAACUUCCUAGCACAAGUUCUACUCAAACCAAAGAUAGGAAGUUGCCAAAUACUAAAUCUUCAGAAACAGCUCGCCUCAAGACAACAAAUGAUUACAAGUCAACUUUAGAUAUGAAGAACAUUAGAAGAAAGGCUUUGAUUUCUAAAACUCGUAAUAAUGAUUUGGGUGGCUGGAAUGUUAGCAAAAGUCAAGGUGCAGAUGGCUCUGGCAUUACUUUAGCUGACAGAUUGAGGGAACCUUUGCCAUGCUAAGGUAGGAAGGAGCUCAUCAACCUGGCUCAGGAAGCAAGGCAAAAUCUAAAUCAUGAGUCAUCAGCUGUAUUAUCUCCCAUGAGAAAAAGAAUCACUGCUUCUCCUCAAAAUGUGGAUAAAACACUUGUUUAUCUUACUCCAAUGCCCCUGGUUUCAACAGGACCUGGUGCUGGGAGUUCUCAAUUGAUGAACAGAGGGAAUCGGAAAUUCAAGAAAGAAGGUCAUUGUGUUGGAACCAAAGGCUUCCGGGCUCCCGAGGUUUUGUUGAGAUUUCCAUUACAAUAUAAAGGCAUUACACUAAACUAAACAUGCUCGUUUGGAACGGUAGUGUACACUUUUAUUGCUUAAAAAUGUUGGUUUAGAAACAUGGCUAUUAUGUCCUUGGAUGAGGAUAUAUUAUUUAUUUUUAACUUGUCAUUUCUUUUAUAAAUAAUUUAAAAUGAAAUUAAGUAUACGUGCCUUGCACAUUUUUUUUAA